rnacentral:rRNA from 1 species
UACGUAGGGGGCAAGCGUUGUCCGGACUUAUUGGGCGUAAAGAGCGUGUAGGCGGUUUGGUAGGUCCGCUGUGAAAACUCGAGGCUCAACCUCGAGACGCCGGUGGAAACCAUCAGACUAGAGUCCGGAAGAGGAGAGUGGAAUUCCUGGUGUAGCGGUGAAAUGCGCAGAUAUCAGGAAGAACACCCGUGGCUAAGGCGGCUCUCUGGGACGGUACUGACGCUGAGACGCGAAAGCGUGGGGAGCGAACAGG